rnacentral:lncRNA from 1 species
CGCUGCUGCCGCCGCCGCCAACACCACCACCACCACCACCGCCGCCGCCGCCGCUGCUGCCGCCGCCGCCGUCGCCGCUACUAUCGCCCGUCGUUGUCGUCGCAAUCGCAGUCGCAGUCGCAGAGUCGUCGUCGUUGUGUAGUCGUUUCGUUGUCUCGUUGUACCACGUUCGCGCGUGAUUUUCACCAGGCGGAUGGACAUCGAUCAUUCAGUUGAGGAGCGGCUAUAUUAAAUUAGGGAGAACCUUUAUUCCCUAUUGAAAGGAUAUAAGAUAUUAAGCGAAGAGUAGGAGGAUCCAAAGGAAAAAUCUCUGAUAAAAGAGCAUCGUGCGAUCAAGAGUGGAUAUUUUAAACGAAGCAACAACGGGCCGGAAUCGAAUAAAACGGAAGAACUGAUUAUGAGUCGGAACAGUGCAGUAGGUCAGCACGCAUCCGAGCCGGCGUUAUACAAUAGACUCGACACGAGACACGCGUUGGUUUGAGACCGGCUUGAAGGACACCACCAGCGGCUUUUUGAGACACGUAUACAUACAAUACAUGCUACUACUACUACUACUACAUCAUCAACAGCAGCAGAAGUAGAAGUAAAAGCAGAAGAAGCAGCAGAAACAGCAGCAGCAGCAAUAGUAGUCUGUAUAAAAAGCAACGUUUGCGGCUACAAAACACCACCACCACUACCAACAACAACAACAACAACAACACAAUCAUCGUCAUCGUCCCCGUUAUCUUCGUCGAGACGUUUAGAGAAGAGUUUCGAAGGCUUCCACAAGCUUUGCUCGCACGAAAGAAGAAGAGUUACGGAGUCGAGAGUAGAGAAGGAGGGUUUAAGGAAAGAAAAAGGAGAGAAAGAUUUGCGGAGUUGUUUUAUUCGCUGAGUUUUCGAGAGAGAGAGGAAAAGGUCUUUUCUUAAAAAAAAAAAGGAACAAAAGUAAAUUAAUCGAGUGAUCAGCUAGCUCUAUCCUCCUUUCUUCAUCUUUGUCUUCUUCUAUUACUACUACUACUACUACUAUUUCUUCUUUUUCUUCGGACAAGUCGAGAUCUUCCGUGAAUAUCAACUGCAUCGUACAACAAUAACAACAACAAGAUUAAAAGUUUACUGCAGUGCACGUAAAAGUAGUAGUUAUACAAAAAAAAAAAUAAAUAAAACAGUGAAGACACGUACGUACACGUGUCCCUGGCGCUUCCUAUAAAUUAUAAUAAUCAGAAGCGAUUAAGAAAGAAAUUUCAUUUAAAAGAGAACAGCAGUAACGUGAACAACGAUACAGUUACUACGCGAAAAAAUAUACGAAAACGAAGAAGUUGUUGUCCGAUAAUUGGAUGAAAGAAAGCUUUGUCUCUCUCUCUCUUUCUCUCUCUCCCUCUUUCUCUCUCUCUCUCUCUUUCUCUCUCCUCUCUCUUUCUCUCUUUCACUCCACCUACUUCUCGCGUUGAACGUAUUACACCCAACCAUCAUAAGUUCGGCCUAGUGUCUCUCUUUGACCGCAACGAAAAUCUCUUCUAAGCAGCAACAGCUUUAAAAGCAAAUGCAAAAGCAAAAGCAAAAGCAAAAGUAAAAGCCAGAAGCAGUAGCCGCUAAUAAAAACGUUAACGCAACAGUUCCAAUUAGGUACUGUUUAUUACGACUGAUUAACAAUCCACACCUGAUCGUCGAUAAGGAAAGCUAAGGAAAAAACAAAAAAGUUUGGCAUAAUUCGAAAGGAAAAUAAAGAAAAAGAAAGAAAGGGGACGGACGAUCCUUCAAAAUAAUUGUCCUUCGUGUUUGUUAACGCGAGUCAAGUUUUUUGUUCCUUCGUGGAUUUGUAUAUCCUUUCGCGAUUAUAGAAAAAUACAAAUUGGAAAAAUAAUACACGUACACGUAAAGACAAACACGAGUGAGUCAUUUUGGGUUGGUUAUUAAAAUAAUACAAGGAAGUUUGAAAAGAGAAGGGCCGAAAGAUCCAAAGUUUUUCGUUCGUUCGUUCGUUCGUCGAUAAUUUCUACGAGGAGAGAAAGAAAGAAAGAACAAAAUAAAUAAAAAAAAAAGGAAAAAGGUACGAAGACUCGUAUCCCCCAAGGUAUACGCAACGACCCGCGGCAAACCUACUGUUCAGCGAUUUACGUUUAACGAGGUCCGAGAGAAAGAAGCGUGAUUGGGCUCUCUUGAUAUAUUUUUCUUGCGUGAACGAUCCCCCGUGCGUGAACGGUUUUUAACAUAGCUUAUGAUAGAUAAUUGUUCCUUUUGUUUUCUUUGAUUUUUCUUUUAUUUUCAUUCGUUCCGUCGAUAAAAAAGACCUCGAUUCAACGAAAUCCGUAUUAUAGGGUGUGCCGCGUGGUCGUAGCUAGCUUUUGAGAGCAAUUUUUUUAAUCAAAUAUUAUUCGAUAUAUAUUCGAAACGAAAGAAGGGUGAUCAUCAAUCCUAUCGAUAAAAGAUCGGUCCGACGCGAGUGAAAGCUAAGAAGAAAAGGAGAGAAUAAUUAAAUAAAUACA